UGAGGGAUAUUGGUCAAUGGGCGCAAGCCUGAACCAGCGACGCCGCGUGGGUGAAGAAGGUCUUCGGAUCGUAAAGCCCUUUUCCCACUGAAGAGGAAGGACGGUAGGUGGGGAAGAAGUCUCGGCUAACUACGUGCCAGCAGCCGCGGUAAAACGUAGGAGACAAGCGUUAUCCGGAGUUACUGGGCGUAAAGGGCGUGCAGGUGGCGUCUUAAGUCUGUUGUGAAAGCGCCUGGCUUAACCGGGCGAGGCCAAUGGAGACUGAGAGGCUGGAGGACGGCGGAGGGGUGUGGAACUCCGGGUGUAGUGGUGAAAUGCGUAGAGAUCCGGAGGAACACCAGAGGCGAAGGCGGCACUCUAAGCCGUACCUGACACUGAGACGCGACAGCACGGGGAGCAAACG
rnacentral:rRNA from 1 species